UGUAGUUUGCAAACUUAAGGUGGUACCUAACACUACAGGGAGAUAACUCUGUAAAGUCAGCUUAACGUUUUAAUUACAUUGUGUUGUAAGGGGAAUACUAAGCUUCUCAAUGAUCAAAAUUGGUGUUUGUCAAACUGCUAUAUAACCAGUGUAUUUUUUCUGACAAAAUUGUUGGUUCAAAAUUUUGAAAUUUUUAUAUUUUUGUUAAAGGG
rnacentral:lncRNA from 1 species